AGUGAACGCUGGCGGUAGGCCUAACACAUGCAAGUCGAACGGCAGCACAGUAAGAGCUUGCUCUUACGGGUGGCGAGUGGCGGACGGGUGAGGAAUACAUCGGAAUCUACUUUUUCGUGGGGGAUAACGUAGGGAAACUUACGCUAAUACCGCAUACGACCUACGGGUGAAAGCAGGGGAUCUUCGGACCUUGCGCGAUUGAAUGAGCCGAUGUCGGAUUAGCUAGUUGGCGGGGUAAAGGCCCACCAAGGCGACGAUCCGUAGCUGGUCUGAGAGGAUGAUCAGCCACACUGGAACUGAGACACGGUCCAGACUCCUACGGGAGGCAGCAGUGGGGAAUAUUGGACAAUGGGCGCAAGCCUGAUCCAGCCAUACCACGUGGGUGAAGAAGGCCUUCGGGUUGUAAAGCCCUUUUGUUGGGAAAGAAAAGCAGCAGGUUAAUACCCCGCCGUUCUGACGGUACCCAAAGAAUAAGCACCGGCUAACUUCGUG
rnacentral:rRNA from 1 species